rnacentral:rRNA from 1 species
CCGGUUGAUCCUGCCGGAGGCUACUGCUAUCGGGAUUCGAUUAAGCCAUGCGAGUCGAGGGAAUUAGAUUCCCGGCUGACGGCUCAGUAACACGUGGACAACCUGCCCUCAGAUGGGGGAUAAUCUCGGGAAACUGAGGAUAAUACCCCAUAGGCAUCCUUUGCUGGAACGCUUGGAUGCUCAAAGCGUUAGCGUCUGAGGAUGGGUCUGCGGCCUAUCAGGUAGUAGUGGGUGUAACGGACCCACUAGCCAGUGACGGGUACGGGCCUUGAAAGAGGUAGCCCGGAGAUGGACUCUGAGACACGAGUCCAGGCCCUACGGGGCGCAGCAGGCGCGAAAACUUCGCAAUGCGGGAAACCGUGACGAGGGAAUCCCGAGUGCUCAUGCAAUGCAUGGGCUUUUCUGACGUGUAAAAAGCAUCAGGAAUAAGGGCUGGGUAAGACCGGUGCCAGCCGCCGCGGUAAUACCGGCAGCUCGAGUGGUAGCCGCUUUUAUUGGGCCUAAAGCGUCCGUAGCCGGUCAGGUAAAUCCUUGGGUAAAUCGUACAGCUUAACUGUUCGGCUUCCGAGGAGACUGCCUGACUUGGGACCGGGAGAGGUUGGAGGUACUCCUGGGGUAGGGGUGAAAUCCUGUAAUCCCAGGUGGACGACCGGUGGCGAAGGCGUCCAACCAGAACGGCUCCGACGGUGAGGGACGAAGGCCAGGGGCGCAAACCGGAUUAGAUACCCGGGUAGUCCUGGCUGUAAACGCUGCAGACUUGGUGUUGGAUAUCCUACGAGGGUGUCCAGUGCCGAAGAGAAGUUGUUAAGUUUGCCGCCUGGGGAGUAUGGCCGCAAGGCUGAAACUUAAAGGAAUUGGCGGGGGAGCACCGCAACGGGAGGAGCGUGCGGUUUAAUUGGAUUCAACGCCGG